CCUACGGGAGGCAGCAGUGAGGAAUUUUCCGCAAUGGGCGAAAGCCUGACGGAGCAAUGCCGCGUGGAGGAGGAAGGCCUGUGGGUCGUAAACUCCUUUUCUCAGAGAAGAAGUUCUGACGGUAUCUGAGGAAUAAGCAUCGGCUAACUCUGUGCCAGCAGCCGCGGUAAUACAGGGGAUGCAAGCGUUAUCCGGAAUUAUUGGGCGUAAAGCGUCCUGAGGUGGCUUACCCAGUCGACUGUGAAAGCUCAAGGCUUAACCUUGAAACGGCAGUCGAAACUUGUAAGCUUGAGUACGGUAGGGGCAGAGGGAAUUCCCGGAGGAGAGGUGAAAUUCGUAGAUAUCGGGAGGAAGGCCAAAGGCGAAAGCACUCUGCUGGGCCGAUUACUGACACUGACAGACGAAAGCUAGGGGAGCGAAAGGGAUUAGAUACCCCUGUAGUCCUAGCCGUAAACGAUGGAUACUAAGUGUUGCGCGACUCAAAACGUGCAGUGCUGCAGCUAACGCGGUAAGUAUCCCGCCUGGGGAGUAGUGCCGCGAGGAGAACGACAAGUAAGUAGUUAGUUACGGCGUGAGACGUGCCGACGGCGACGACGAGGGAGGAGG
rnacentral:rRNA from 1 species